rnacentral:tRNA from 1 species
GCCCGGGUGGUGAAAUUGGUAGACACAAGGGACUUAAAAUCCCUCGGUAUUAUAUACCGUGCCGGUUCGACUCCGGCCCCGGGCACCA